UGGAACAAUCACCCCAGGCACCGAUGUAAUUGAAUCCUGGCCGGAGCAGAGCUUCAGCAAUCCCCCAGAAGUGGACGGAUAUUGAUUUGCUCUCAGCAUGAGGAGAUGGCCCUCCGCCCCACUUUCCAAGCCCUCUGGAUUCCAACAGCCUUUUGCAGACAAGGGGAUGAGCAUGUUUAUGGAGGAGCCUUUCAAGAGAGGAGGUGUGAACUCAGUUCUUUUCCAGCUGCUGCUGGAAGACAUGUUGCUGCCUGAAAGCAAGGUCCAAAUGAAGCCACGGGAGAGUGUGGCACCAACACUGCAAAGAGAACUGGGCAGGCAGAUCCCUGCACCCGUGAGGAACUCCACUGACUUCAUCUAUAUUUUCUAGUCUUCCGCUUGCUCCCCAGAACCAGGAUAACAAAUGACUUGCAAGGUAACAAUGGUGCACAGUUACUAGGGGUGUUCAAGAAAAGGCUAGAUAAACGUAUGCCAAGAUGAGUGGAUAAGCCUAACGUCCUUACGGAGGGGUUUGGAGUGGACGCGACACUGUAAUGCAUAUUACUGAGGGCUUUCAGUGGCACUGUGGGCUGCAUGCCACCACUGGAGACAUGCUCUCAAAUCCUGGCAUCGAUCACUGUAAGUUGUUGGGGUGACACUAUUGAUUCAGCAGCAAAAUCCAGUUUGAGCCAGCAAAGUCUCUCUCCCCACAGUUUUAUUUUUCCUUAAGGGCUGCAGGGCGGUGUGUACAGCAUAAAUGGAAAAACACCCCAGCGUGGGGCAAACCAGCCCAGUCAGUGUAGAGCUCUGUCUUCUCAAAGGCAUCCUCUCCUUCUAAUUGCCAAGCUCCUCUUCUACAGUUACCCAUCCCUCCCUGAGAGCUUGUCGGCGGCCUUCCACCCCCAACAGCCUUGCCUUGACCGUCUGUGUGAGGACUAAGCAAGACAUUAAACCCCUGCUUGCCGGAAAAGAAGAAGGGACUCCGGAUGCAGUCACAGUCAUCGAUGAGAGUGGCAUUUUCCCCCCCAGUCUCUAUUUCUCCACAGCAUAAUGACUGGCACCCUUUGCUCCAGAGAGAAGCCAGAACUAGCCGGAACAGCAGGGAGAGUCAUGCCAAAGAGGCUAUCACACAGAAAAGGAAGAGGAGGAUGGUAAAGAAAACACCUUAUUCUAGAGCCAACAAUGGAACCUGUGAGACCAUGCAAGCAGCUCCCCAUUCUUCUACUAGCUGCUUCCAGCUGGUCCUACAUGUAAUGGAGCAAUGGAGGUUACCACCAUCUCAAGGGAUUCUUCUUCAACCAGGAAUAUCUGCCAUAGACUUCUAACAAGCCAUGUUAAACUGCCCGUUUCCAGCUGUCCUGAAGCUAGGGAGCUCCCCUGAUGACCUCCUGUUGGACUUUUCUUUGAGCACUUAAGAGCUGGCUCAGGCAAUCUACCCAAAGACAUUUUUAUUUGUCUCUUACCUGCAGGUAAUAGUCAGUGUAUCCUUGGAGUUUAUGGUGUGUUCCUCCUCGGUAAUGCUGAGAGUGGGUGGGGUCAUAGAAUAGCCUCUCACCAGAUCUGGGGAGAGAAAGAAGAGAAGGAGCAAUGUGGAAAUGUGAUAAAUCUGGUCACUCCGCUGUGUGGUAGUUUGGUUUGGUCUCUAAAGCCAGUCUAAAUAAAUGCAGGAGGGUGACCAGGCCCGCUGAGGGAAAGACCCUGUAACAGAGCAGUGGGAUUGUGUUGCCCCCAGUUAAUUUACUGCUGACUCACUGGGGAAAGUGAGGUUCAUUAGGCUCUAACCAUAAGGGAACAGUUCUCCAGCAAAGGGUCUGGUACAGAUCCUGAGGGAAGGAAACACAGGAGCAGAUGAGGCCUGGAGAGAGGAUUACGGCUGGGUUGAAGGAAAUCUAGGAACAGUCCAUCUUCAAGAGCUGGUUCAGGCUGCGAUUACAUGAAGUAUUGUUUUGGAAUGAUCCCUUUUAGUAAUAAACCAGUAGUUUUGUCUGAAGUUGGGUGUGUAUCCCAUCUGCUUACAGACCCCCAAUUUCAAAACGCAGAACUCUUGCAUAUGUACCAAUGACGUGGGGAAAACCUUUCAACACAAGGCUCUCAAAAAGCAACAGCAUCUUUUCACACUUACACUGAAUGUUUUUCUAACCAUGGACUCUCUUGGAUAAGACUGAGACUGUCUGGGAGGAUGUUGUACCUUUUGGGAUUCGGGCAGAACCAUUUCCAUGGCUGGGGGUGUAGAAUUCCAUGAGAUGAAUUACGCACCCUUAUGCGGAGAGAGUCAUUGUUUGGAUAGGUGAACAUAAUAUAAUUAAUUUCUUCUUCAAGUCUUGUGUGGAUCCCUCUUCUAGGGCACAAGCCACGCAUCUGAUACACAUGUCCACCAUAAGAGGGAUCCACACUGAGAAAUCAUCUUGAAGAACAACAGUUACUGGAAGGUAAAUAACCAUGGAUUUUCAUUAACCCAGUGUGGCCAACUCUCCUGAUUUUAUCGUGAGCUUUGUGAUAUUUGAUGCUUAUCUUAAAGCCCCAGCUUCUGAAGGGAUGUGAUUAGGAAAGUCCCAUGGCUUUCAUUAAAAAAAAAAAAGGUUUCUAGCUCUCAA